GACGAACGCUGGCGGCGUGCUUAACACAUGCAAGUCGAACGGAAAGGCCCUGCUUUUGUGGGGUGCUCGAGUGGCGAACGGGUGAGUAACACGUGAGUAACCUGCCCUUGACUUUGGGAUAACUUCAGGAAACUGGGGCUAAUACCGGAUAGGAGCUCCUGCUGCAUGGUGGGGGUUGGAAAGUUUCGGCGGUUGGGGAUGGACUCGCGGCUUACCAGCUUGUUGGUGGGGUAGUGGCUUACCAAGGCUUUGACGGGUAGCCGGCCUGAGAGGGUGACCGGCCACAUUGGGACUGAGAUACGGCCGAGACUCCUACGGGAGGCAGCAGUGGGGAAUAUUGCACAAUGGGCGGAAGCCUGAUGCAGCAACGCCGCGUGCGGGAUGACGGCCUUCGGGUUGUAAACCGCUUUCGCCUGUGACGAAGCGUGAGUGACGGUAAUGGGUAAAGAAGCACCGGCUAACUACGUG
rnacentral:rRNA from 1 species